rnacentral:tRNA from 1 species
GAGAGUAUAGCUCAGUGGUAGAGUGCAUGCUUAGCAUGCAUGAGGUCCUGGGUCCAAUCCCCAGUACCUCCU